ACAGUGGACGCGAGCAUCUUUAAUUGUUUGUGAAUGUAAGUGUGUAAGAGCACACGGUGGAUGCCUUGGCACCAAGAGCCGAUGAAGGACGUAGUAGGCUGCGAUAAGCCUCGGGGAGCUGCCAAACGAGCUGUGAUCCGAGGGUGUCCGAAUGGGGAAACCCAGCACGCGUGAUGGCGUGUUACCCGCAUCUGAAUACAUAGGGUGUGUGGAGGGAACGCGGGGAAGUGAAACAUCUCAGUACCCGCAGGAAGAGAAAACAAUAGUGAUUCCGUCAGUAGCGGCGAGCGAACGCGGAUCAGGCUAAACCGCAUGCGUGUGAUACCCGGCAGGGGUUGCGUGUGUGGUGUUGUGGGGCAUGAUGUCCCGGUUCUGCCGGACCGGGCGCUGAUUGAUCGCGGGUUAGGGGAACGACUUGGAAGGGUCGGCCGGAGAGGGUGAGAGUCCCGUACCUGAAAACCUUGCGGCGGGGCGAUUUGUGUUCCCAAGUAGCAGCGGGCCCGUGAAAUCUGCUGUGAAUCUGCCGGGACCACCCGGUAAGCCUAAAUACUUCUUGGUGACCGAUAGCGGAUUAGUACCGUGAGGGAAUGGUGAAAAGUACCCCGGGAGGGGAGUGAAAUAGUACCUGAAACCGUGUGCUUACAAUCCGUCAGAGGCUUUAGGGCUGAUGGCGUGCCUUUUGAAGAAUGAGCCUGCGAGUUAGUGGUAUGUCGCGAGGUUAACCCGUGUGGGGAAGCCGUAGCGAAAGCGAGUCCUAAUAGGGCGUUUGAGUGGCAUGCUCUAGACCCGAAGCGGAGUGAUCUACCCAUGGCCAGUGUGAAGCGACGGUAAGACGUCGUGGAGGCGCGAACCCACUUAGGUUGAAAACUGAGGGGAUGAGUUGUGGGUAGGGGUGAAAGGCCAAUCAAACUCCGUGAUAGCUGGUUCUCCCCGAAAUGCAUUUAGGUGCAGCGUCGCAUGUUUCACCUCGGAGGUAGAGCUACUGGAUGGCCGAUGGGCCCUACAAGGUUACUGACGUCAGCCAAACUCCGAAUGCCGAGGUGUGAGAGUGCGGCAGUGAGACUGUGGGGGAUAAGCUUCAUAGUCGAGAGGGAAACAGCCCAGAUCGCCGGCUAAGGCCCCUAAGCGUGUACUAAGUGGAAAAGGAUGUGGGAUCGCUGAGACAGCCAGGAGGUUGGCUUAGAAGCAGCCACCCUUGAAAGAGUGCGUAAUAGCUCACUGGUCAAGUGGUCCUGCGCCGACAAUUUAGCGGGGCUCAAGUACACCGCCGAAGCCGCGGCAUUCAUACAAUAACCUCCUCCGGGCAGGUGUAUGGAUGGGUAGGGGAGCGUCGUGUGGCCAUAGAAGCGCCGGAGUGAUCCAGGCGUGGAGGCCACACGAGUGAGAAUGCAGGCAUGAGUAGCGAAUGACGAGUGAGAAACUCGUCCGCCGAAUGAUCAAGGGUUCCUGGGUCAAGCUAAUCUGCCCAGGGUGAGUCGGGACCUAAGGCGAGGCCGACAGGCGUAGUCGAUGGACAACGGGUUGAUAUUCCCGUACCCGUGUAUGCGCGCCCAUGGUGAAUCAGUGAUACUAACCGCCCUGAACGUCCUAGAGCAUCCUUCGGGAUGACGUGGACCGGAUGCGCGGGACCUGAACUGGUAGUAGCCAAGCGAUGGGGUGACGCAGGAAGGUAGCUGGGCCAGUCAGUGGUUGUACUGGUGUAAGAGUGUAGGCCGUGACAUAGGCAAAUCCGUGUCACAUCAAGGCUGAGACUUGAUGCAUACCCGUUGUGGGGAAUUCAGUGAUCCUAUGCUGCCGAGAAAAGCCUCUAGUGAGUUCAUNNNNNNNNNNNNNNNNNNNNNNNNNNNNNNNNNNNNNNNNNNNNNNNNNNNNNNNNNNNNNNNNNNNNNNNNNNNNNNNNNNNNNNNNNNNNNNNNNNNNCACGGCCCGUACCCCAAACCGACACAGGUGAUCAGGUAGAGAAUACCAAGGCGAUCGAGAGAACUGUGGUUAAGGAACUCGGCAAAAUGCCCCCGUAACUUCGGGAGAAGGGGGACCACGCCCGGUGACGAUCCUUGCGAUCUGAGCUGGGGGUGGUCGCAGAGACCAGAGAGAAGCGACUGUUUACUAAAAACACAGGUCCGUGCGAAGACGUAAGUCGAUGUAUACGGACUGACGCCUGCCCGGUGCUGGAAGGUUAAGAGGACCGGUUAGCCGCAAGGCGAAGCUGAGAAUUUAAGCCCCAGUAAACGGCGGUGGUAACUAUAACCAUCCUAAGGUAGCGAAAUUCCUUGUCGGGUAAGUUCCGACCUGCACGAAUGGCGUAACGACUUCUCUGCUGUCUCGACCACAGACUCGGCGAAAUUGCACUACGAGUAAAGAUGCUCGUUACGCGCGGCAGGACGAAAAGACCCCGGGACCUUUACUAUAGCUUGGUAUUGGCGUUCGAUUCGGUUUGUGUAGGAUAGGUGGGAGACUGUGAAGCAUGCACGCCAGUGUGUGUGGAGUCGUUGUUGAAAUACCACUCUGAUCGUAUUGGACGUCUAACCUCGGCCCAUGAUCUGGGUUAGGGACAGUGCCUGGUGGGUAGUUUAACUGGGGCGGUUGCCUCCUAAAGAGUAACGGAGGCGCCCAAAGGUUCCCUCAGCCUGGAUGGCAAUCAGGUGUUGAGUGCAAGUGCACAAGGGAGCUUGACUGUGAGACUGACACGUCGAGCAGGGACGAAAGUCGGGACUAGUGAUCCGGCACCGGCAAGUGGAAGCGGUGUCGCUCAACGGAUAAAAGGUACCCCGGGGAUAACAGGCUGAUCUUCCCCAAGAGUCCAUAUCGACGGGAUGGUUUGGCACCUCGAUGUCGGCUCGUCGCAUCCUGGGGCUGGAGUAGGUCCCAAGGGUUGGGCUGUUCGCCCAUUAAAGCGGCACGCGAGCUGGGUUUAGAACGUCGUGAGACAGUUCGGUCUCUAUCCGCCGCGCGCGUAAGAAACUUGAGGAAGGCUGUCCCUAGUACGAGAGGACCGGGACGGACGAACCUCUGGUGUGCCAGUUGUUCCACCAGGAGCAUCGCUGGUUAGCUACGUUCGGAAGGGAUAACCGCUGAAAGCAUCUAAGCGGGAAGCCUGUUCCAAGAUGAGGUUUCUCACCACCUUCGCGUGGUUAAGGCCCCCCACAGACCAUGGGGUUGAUAGGCCGGAACUGGAAGCGCAGCAAUGCGUGCAGGUGACCGGUACUAAUCGGCCGAGGGCUUACACACAA
rnacentral:rRNA from 1 species